ensembl:lncRNA
CUUAUUUCUAUCAACACAACCAAAACUCCUCCAGCACUGGGAUAAAUGAGAGGCAAACACUUUGUGCAGACACCUCGGUGGCUGCCCUCAGGACACGAGCUGCUGUCACGUGGCUCCCUGGUGGUAACCUGCUCAUCUUCCCAGUCCCUUAGGAAAACAUUUUCCUGGCCAAGCCAGGCGUACUGAUACAAAAACGGGGUGUAGACCAGACCAGAGAUAGGGAAAUUUCACUAAACAGGUGUGGUGCAUUAUUAGACACUUCAUGUUUUCUAUUUUUACCUUAAUCUCUUUGCUCUUCCCUCAGGGCUUGUGUAGUCUAGAAAAGAUUUAUUUUAAAACUUAUUAGCUGGAGUGUUUGAGCUAAUAUGUUUAAAAUCCCUAGUUUCUGAUCCUCACUCCUACCAUGGCUACUCAGUUUCCUCAGGCGGUGCAAAGGAGUUGCCUUGUCACCACCAUGUCCCUUUUGAGGGCAAGGCUGUUGUCACAUUUCCCAUGACGCGUUCACCUAAUUUGGUAAUUUCUCCAUUAGAAAAUACUCUGUGCUGCCCGUACCAGGGCUUUAACGGGUUUUAAUUAAAACAUUUGAGCUAGCAUAUAUUAAAAAUACACCUUUUGUCCCAGGGCUCCGACACAUGAGCAAGUCACAGCAAGGCAACUGCAUGGGCACCAUCAGCCUCUGUUGCUCACAGGUUGGUUCAGCUUCAGCUCAUUUCUCAGGCCCUAAUCUGUGCAAUAUCUCUACACACAAAUAAUCCACAAACCAAGAGCCAGGCUAUAUUUUCUAAGGAAGGCAAUUAUUUAAAUGUUCCUCAGUAAAUUCUCAAUCUCAUUUCCAUUUAAACAAUUUAAUUCUGGUCACAAUGUCAGCCACUGUAUUGCUUUAAAACAGCAUAUCCAUAGCUUGAAGAAUGCGAUUUGCCAUUAAGAGAGUAACCACACAUCUGCCACCUUGAUCACUAUGUUUGUGUUAUUAUCAACUUCUGUCUCAGUGCCAAGAAAUUUAAUCAAACUCCAGCAAAGAAAUAAUAACAUUUCAGUUGAACAAUGGCGUGGCCCUUUGAAAAAGCAGUGAUUUGCUCUAGGGUGCACUAAAAGGAGAGAAGGUCUGUAAACAAAGGGUAGCACUGUGAAAAAAAUAUUAUCUGUCAAAUCUAGCUUUUUUUUUUCCUUCUUUCUACUUGCAAAUAAUUAUCCAACAGUUUGCAGCUACUAUAAAUGUACCAACCUUCAACAGAUACGCUGUGUAACUGCUUAUUUAGAGGUUGUUGGCAGUUUGCUUGGUUGAGUAUUUAUGGCUUCCUUUUCAUGCUAUGUGAAAGGCUCACAGCCCAUUACUUUCCUUCUGUACCCCAACUGGACCAUCCAAAGCAAAACACAGAGUUGUCUUGGAAAAAGAAAAACAAAAUAAAAAAUUGAAAGAAAAAAGGAAAGGAAAUAAGCAAGCUGAGGAAAUAUUAAAACGUGUGAAAUCUUUCCCAUCUUUUAGAGUCAAGAUCAUUGUGUCUGGUUUUGCUCCUAGAUUGUUUAAACUAUUGAUAGAGGAAGAGAAGGCAUAAGUCAUAUUUACCGACUGCCUGGAAAUCUGCUCAGCCGAUGUAAAUUCUUUGCAUGUGAGUGCAUGUCCAUAUGCCGUGUUGUUUGCGAAGGGUGCAGUCCCUUAUCCUUGGCCCUUUUGUUUGAGUAAAUGCUUAAGUGCCAAGCCUUUGACCAGAGACAUCAGGAAACUGCUGCCUGUCCUCCCGCCACACCUCCAGCGCACAUUGCUGCAGCCAAAGCCAGUUGUCUUGCUUUUACCCAGUGCUAUCACUGAGCAACAACAGCAUUGCUGAACCAGUGUGUCUAUAUUUUUUUUUGCCUCUGAAGCCAACUCUACUUCUGUAAUUCUUCACUACCAACAACAUAACAGAUAGCUCAAGCACCUGGCAUAUAUUUCCCCUGUAGAUCAAGUAAGGGAUGGCGGUGUGUUGUUACCAAUGAAGAGAAUAUAGGCUGCUAAUUGCCAAACAACUGGAGUCUGUGUCUACAGGAGAGUUACUUCUGAAGGGAAUGGGAGCCCUGGAAGCUCUAAAUAAUGGAUUUAUAAAGGCAGCAUUCAGAAUUGUAUCAGUCAUGCUGACGAAUGAUCAAGGCAGGUUUUAGCAGCUGUACGGAUGCUGCAGCUGAUGGGCUUCUAGGGAAAAUCAGUAUCCUCCCUGGGAGACAGAACUCCACCAGACUAUGAUGGUCUGCUUCUGGAAGCCAAACGAGGACCGACCCAAGCGGUGUGUCAAAAAUUUGGACAAGCUAUCACAAAACCACUGCCAGGUCUUCUGGAGCGGCAUGGAAAGUUCCCACUCCAAAGGAACUCAAGAGCUUAUAGGCAUGAGUCACCAACUCCUUUUUCUCAUCUGCCGUGCCCCAAAGAAAAUUUGUGAUGAUUCAGACAGAAGAAGUUGUUCGAGAGGCCGUACUGUGAGUACACAACCAUUACAGGGGGGAACUACUGGUGAAAGAGGAGGUGGUUGCAUUAGCGGUGCUGGCUGUUGCUACCUUCAUCCGUCAACAGCUUAAUUCCUCAGUAAAAUACCCAGAGAAUCACGUUCAGCCCUUUUGUCCUUUCUAACAGGAACUGAGUGGCAAUCAUUAAAAAAUAGGCCAUAUUUGUCAGUGUGCCUUUUCCCCACCCCUUUCUCCUUGCUGAGAUAGGCGCUGACCCACCCUUCCCUUUGAAGGCAGCUGGCUGUGUUAUUGCUCAGAUAAGCACACAUCUGCACUCCUGAGGUUCUCUGACAGGUCAGCAGAGAAUAUAUCAGCUAAGACGGGGGAAAAAAAAGCCUCCCCCGGUGCUACCUGAAAGCCUUCCAUUCUGAAUUGUCUGGUUGCUGAUGCUGCCGAUCUCUGUUGAAGGGAAGCAGAAGGUUCAUGGAGUGGAGAAUUGCUGGCCCAGAAACAUCCCACUGCAGCUCUCAUUUUUAACUAUGUUCAGUCUCUUCUGUGAUUUUAAGUUUUCGCCUACAUUUGGUGGAGAUGAUUGCUGUUUCUCUACAAAAGCAUCUGCAAUGAUACAAAAGUCUCCAGUCAAGUGUCUGUGGUCCAUGAACAUGACAAAAAUACAUAAUAAAUACAGUACUUCUACUCCUAAAGCCAUUUUUUAAAUGGGCACAUAUUUAUAUGUGCUAUGCUGUGGAAUAUAUGCACCGUGUCAUUAUAUACUCAGAUUGUAUGGUUCGCAGGAAAUUAAAUUUGGUAUACUCAUAGACAAAUAUUUACAUUAUUAGUAGUCAUCUUUAGGAACAUGGCAUUAUCACAAAUGCAG